CCUACGGGUGGCAGCAGUGAGGAAUAUUGGUCAAUGGCCGGAAGGCUGAACCAGCCAUGCCGCGUGAAGGUCAGUGCCCUAUGGGCGUUAAACUUCUUUUGUGCGGGAGCAAUAAUGGUCACGUGUGGCCAGACGAUAUUACCGUACGAAUAAGCAUCGGCUACCUCCGUGCCAGCAGCCGCGGUAAUACGGGGGAUGCAAGCGUUAUCCGGAUUUAUUGGGGUUAAAGGGUGCGUAGGCUGGGAGGUAAGUCAGCGGUGAAAUGCCCCCGCUCAACGGGGUGAAGUGCCAUUGAUACUGCAUAGCUGGAAUGCGGAUGCGGUGGGAGGAAUGUGAGGUGUAGCGGUGAAAUGCAUAGAUAUCACACAGAACACCGAUUGCGAAGGCAUCUCACGAAUCCGCGAUUGACGCUGAUGCACGAAAGCGUGGGUAUCAAACAGGAUUAGAUACCCCAGUAGUC
rnacentral:rRNA from 1 species